rnacentral:tRNA from 1 species
GCGGGAGUAGCUCAGCCUGGCUAGAGCGGCUGCCUUCCAAGCAGUAGGUCGCGGGUCCGAAUCCCGUCUCCCGCU